GUCGUAACAAGGUCUCCGUUGGUGAACCAGCGGAGGGAUCAUUACCGAGUUAUAAAACUCCCAAACCCCUGUGAACUAUACCGAUUGUUGCUUCGGCGGUGCCCUCGCCCCCGCGGUGAGGGCCCGCCAGAGGACCAAAAACCUUUGAAAUCUUGUUAUCGUUGGCACUUCUGAGUGAAGAAAAACAAAUAAAUCAAAACUUUCAACAACGGAUCUCUUGGCUCUGGCAUCGAUGAAGAACGCAGCGAAAUGCGAUAAGUAAUGUGAAUUGCAGAAUUCAGUGAAUCAUCGAAUCUUUGAACGCACAUUGCGCCCGCCAGUAUUCUGGCGGGCAUGCCUGUUCGAGCGUCAUUUCAACCCUCAAGCCCCCGGGCUUGGUGUUGGGGAUCGGGGUAAAAACGGCCAAACCCUCCGGGGGGCGGUCCGGCCCGUCCCUCAAAUGCAUCGGCGGUCUCGCCGCGGUCCUCCUAUGCGUAGUAGCACACCUCGCACUGGAGCCGCAGCCUGCCCUGCCGCUAAACCCCCAAAUAUUUUUUUGAUGGUUGACCUCGAAUCAGGUAGGACUACCCGCUGAACUUAAGCAUAUCAAUA
rnacentral:rRNA from 1 species